rnacentral:piRNA from 1 species
GACUACAUUGAAUUUCUCUUCUUCC